GACAAGCAGGAAUAUUCUUCCUCUACAAAGAGGAAUUAAUGCUGGAUGGACCUAUUUAAUGUAGUGAAAUUACAAAUACUUUUUGUGAAUCACACACAAUUGUUGCCGUAAUUCUUGUCAAGAAUUGUAACUCUGUUAAUGGAGGAUGAAAGCUUUAAUUAUAGUACCUAAACUAAGAUCAUUUUUGAUGUGACCCUUGGGGUAAGGCACUAUUUGCAAUUUUAAACAGGCAAUGAAUAAUUAACACAGAACAUUAAUGCCUAAAUUGAUUGUCUAAUUUAUUAAUUAGUAGAGUUACUCUGUUUGUUCUACCUGGCAAGUCACAACAACAGGUCAACACCAUUGUGGAAAUUUACUCAAAAGCUCCAGCUCCAACCAAUCAUGAAUGGAAAUGUGAGAAGAGAUAGAAGAACACUCUCCUUUAAACAUUAAGAGGAAUCAGGUUGUUUCAGUAUUGCAAUAAUGGAGAUGAAAGGGUUAAUUCAAAAUGUCAUGCUAAGAAUUAGGAAUUGGAAAGCUAAUUUGCAUUAUUAUAGAGAAGUGUACUUUUGACUUCUCAGCCAGCUUUGGGAAAAGCAAUUAUUCUGGGGGCAGGGGGAGGAAACUGUGUGAAGAACACCCUUUGUAGGGCUUUGGAUCAUGUGAUGGCAUCAGGAAUCCCUCACACCUCAGGAAUGGGAGGUGCUCCCACUGCAAAGAUCCUCCUCACUUCUAGCCUGGCAUCACUGAGGGCAGUACCACCACUCCCUUAGGGAAAACUUUGGGAAAAGCAGCUCUAAGCUAGAAAAUGGAGGGCCAGGUCACUGAGAGCAUCCCUGAAAACAAGAGGAAAGGAGUCAGGUCUCAGUGCUCAAAUUCUUCAGAGUACAAAAGAGCCGGUGCCUGGGCAUUAACGUACCGCAAGAUGGACUUCUGAACGAGCAGCACAUUGCACCCAGCCUUCUUGAUCUGCUUCACCAGGUUCAGGAUGUAGGCUCUCUCCUCACGCAGCACUCUGUCCAUUUGAGCAUAAUCAGAAACAACAAUCUGGUUGUCCAUCUAUUUCAAAUAAAAAAAGAGAAAACCAA